rnacentral:tRNA from 1 species
CAGACUGAUGACCUAACGGUUGAGGGUGCUCAUUUUGGGAAUGAGAGAACUUGGUUCGACUCCAAACAGUCUGA